rnacentral:rRNA from 1 species
UGGGGAAUAUUGGACAAUGGGCGAAAGCCUGAUCCAGCAAUGCCGCGUGAGUGAUGAAGGCCUUAGGGUUGUAAAGCUCUUUUACCCGGGAUGAUAAUGACAGUACCGGGAGAAUAAGCCCCGGCUAACUCCGUGCCAGCAGCCGCGGUAAUACGGAGGGGGCUAGCGUUGUCCGGAUUGACUGGGCGUAAAGCGCACGUAGGUGGCACGGUGCGUGGGGUGUGAAAUCGGCCGGCUUAACCGGUCGCCGCCAUCCCAAACGGCCGCGCUCGAGGAAUGCAGAGGUUGGUGGAAUUGCCGGUGUAGUGGUGAAAUGCGUAGAGAUCGGCAGGAACACCAAGGGGGAAGCCAGCCAACUGGGCAUCUCCUGACACUGAGGUGCGACAGCGUGGGGAGCGAAC